CCCUUAGAUGUUCUGGGCCGCACGCGCGCUACACUGACGGAGCCAACGAGUCUUUUCCUUGUCCGGAAGGACUGGGUAAUCUUGUGAAACUUCGUCGUGCUGGGGAUAGAGCAUUGCAAUUAUUGCUCUUCAACGAGGAAUUCCUAGUAAGCGUGAGUCAUCAGCUCGCGUUGAUUACGUCCCUGCCCUUUGUACACACCGCCCGUCGCUACUACCGAUUGAAUGGUUUAGUGAGGACUCCUGAUUGGCGCCGCCGCCCCGGCAACGGAGCAGCGGACUGCCGAAAAGUUGUUCAAACUUGAUCAUUUAGAGGAAGUAAAAGUCGUAACA
rnacentral:rRNA from 1 species